rnacentral:lncRNA from 10 species
UUCUUCUACAUCAUAACAGACACUACAAUCGUUGAAAAAUGGGCAAAGAACACCAAAAGGUAAAUACGGAAGAAAAAAAUCAUUAAAGAUUUUUAAAAGUUUUACACCUCGACAAAGAACUGUAAAUUUUUAUGUUUUAUUUUUUUCGCUGGCUGACUGGCAAAGAUUAACAUUAGUUCUAAGGACACAGAGCUAAGUCAGCAUGGAUCCCUCAUUCUUGAGUUCGUUCUGGUUGGGGGAAAAGAAGUAGUGUGUGAGCUCUGCACACCCCCUGGGUGCAUACAUCAGGUGUGGUUUUACCCAGAGGUUAAAGGCCUGUUCUGGUGAACACAUGGCAUAUUUUGAGGUUAGUGGUUGGGGCACUGGAGUCAGACCUGGAUACAAGCACUGAUCUCACCAUUUACUAGUGUGUAAACUUUAAUGUGAAUCUUGUUCAUAUUUUGCAGCUAGCAAAUAAGACAAAAAUAAUGCCUCCCUCAGAGGAAGGAGUGUUGAGAGGAUUAAAUGAGAUAAUGCAGUGCAAUCACAUAGUAAAACAGUAAACAUGCCCUGCCCUAGCUUAAUGGCCAAUUCUCUGGAAGUCAUCCGUGAUGCAGCCAAGUGGCAGGUAUCCUCCCACACCUGUAACUCCCUU